AGGUAAAAAAGUAUAUUAAUGUGCAUAAAGAAGCCAAGGAAAGAUGGUAGGGGGGAGCUGUUACGACACUCCCCGACAGGUAGAGGAAGCCGCCGUUUGGAAUGAUCCCCUUCUCCAGGAACGCAGAUCUACAGGAGAAUCACACAACGGUCCGUCAUCUGCCAUGAGGGGAUUUAUAAUAACAGUUCUCCUCUGCCUCACAUUGGAUGUGACCAGUGGAAUGAUCAGUAUCCAGCUGAUCCCUCAGUAUCCGAUGAUUAAUGGAUCCGUCACCCUGAGUGUUACCGGCAUCAUUGGGGACAUUGAGGCUGUCGUCUGGUAUAAAGGAACAAAUGCAAUGUCUCAGUAUCAGAUCUUAGCACAUGUUCCUGGUAGCACUCCACCAUUAUUUCAUGGACCUCUGUACAGUCCUAGGUUCUUGGCUUUCAAUAACGGAUCGUUACAGAUUAUUGCUCUUCAUACCACAGAUGGCGGGAAUUAUACUGUCACGAAACAAUAAUUGAUAAAAAUGACAAUUACAUAGGACUUACACCUGAAUCUAUACUUGGACUUGCCUUUGCCGUAAUCUUUGGAGCUCUACUAAUAAUUAUUGGAGGCGUCUGCUUAUAUUGGAAAUGUCUGACCAAGAGGAUGAAUGAGUUUGCAGUUUAGAUCUGAGGACACAUACACAGAACUGAGGAAAUAAGAUUUUGUGUUCCCUCUCACAUAAGAACGCUGACUGACCUUGAACACUGACUGAAGUUCAUCCUGAUCCCAUCCUCCAUCUUUUCUCAAGUAUUGUCUAGACAAAUGAAGACUUUAGCUGUCCCUGUGUAUACAGACCUUACCACCAAGACCCAGGCCAAAUUCUGAUUCCGUUGUAUAAAGUGCACUCAGAAGGUGAGCACGCUUCAUACCAGGUGGGUUCCGGUUGCCUGGACCCACAGCUAAGGCCAUUCAUCACAGAUCGGUCCGAUUUCCCGCAUUAAAGGGGUACUCUGGUGCUCAAGGACCUCAAGCCACACCCCUCCCAUAGAUAUGAAUGUAGAGUUGUGACAUGACGUCCCAAGUGGCAUGGCUGUGACAUGACGGCAACUGCUGCCAGAACCCGGCAUUUGUUUGGAACUGCAGGAGAUCAUGGGGGGGGUGGAACAGUGGGACCUCCGCGAUCAGACAUCUUAUUACUUAUCCUUUGGUUAGUUGGUUUGGAGUAUCCGUUUAACCCUUCAGACCCUUCGGUGUCCAAAAUGGUUAAAAAGCAUUCCCGGCUAGCUCAGGGAGCUGAUCAGGACCACCGCAGCAAAAUAGGGUGGGGGGUCCUGAUCAGGUCAGAGGACAGGCGGAGGUGCCCUAUCUGCCACUUUCCCAUCAGAUCGGUGCUCCAACACCGCAAACAGCCUCAGCAGCCCGUACUAAUGGAGCGGCAAUAACACUGAUCAAUUGCCUAUUCUAUGUAGUAUUUUCAAGUUGGACCUGAGGAAGGGAAGCAAGUAGGUGCCGAAACACGUUUUCCCAUUGUCGCUUAUCAAUAAAAUCAGAUGGUCUUGUACGUCUGUUUUAGUUCAGAUGUCUUGGUAAUAAAAUACAUUACAAAAGUGCAUAUAAAGACCCCCUUUUGUUCUUCUACUACAGCUGCUGAAUAGAAGUAAAUAAUAAUAUAAAAUAACAAAAUGCUCCAAAGGAACAGUUGUCUAUUACGAACAUCAUAGUAGUACAGAAAGUCUCUGUGAGAGGAUCAACCGGAAGAAGGACGUGUCUGCGAGGCCUUUUUCCAACCAGAAAAGAACAAUGGAGGAGAAUAAUGAGACUAUAGACUUUAACGUACAUUAUGCAGAUCAUUGGGUGUCAACAUAUGUGACCAACAUAUCAUAGCCUUCAAUCUUAUUAAAACUUU